rnacentral:snRNA from 1 species
CGGCAGCGGGUUCUCAACUCGCUCGCUCGCCGUAUCGAACAUGGUUCUUGCCUUUUACCAGAACCAUCCGGGUGCUGUCCCUCUAUGCGUCCUGCGCUCUGUCAAAUUUUUGGCAAUCCCUCACCUCUAACAAAGGUGGA